rnacentral:lncRNA from 1 species
CAAGCUCUCUCGUCCUGAGAAGAUGUCCUUUAGUGACACUGUGCAUCUCAAAUCNNNNNNNNNNNNNNNNNNCCCCCCCCCCCCUGGCCCCCCGCCCCCCCGGGAGCCUGCCCCCCUCUCACCUUCUCCAGCCUGGCCCACCCCCUGCCACCCCAGCAGCAGCAGCAACAGCAGCCGCCGCCGCCGCCGCCCCAACAGUCACAGCCACAGCAGCCGCAGGCACCAACUCAGGGCCCCUCAACUGUAGGGGGUGCCCCUCCACUGCACACCCCAAGCCCCGAUGGUUGUACUGCACCAGGGGGAAAACAAGCCGGAGCUGAAGGCUACGGCCCCCCCGCUGUGAUGGCCAUGCACCCUCCCCCGCUGCAGCACGGAGGCUACCACCCUCAUCAGCACCACGCCCACUCCCACCCGGCCCAGCAGCCGCCGCCGCAGCAAGCACAGAGCCAGGCGCCCAUCAACAGCACUGGCUUUGCCUUUCCUCCAGACUGGUGCUCCAGUAUUGACUCCUUAAAGGAAAGCUUCAAGAUGGUGAACCGGCUCAACUGGUCCAGCAUCGAGCAGUCCCAGUUCUCAGUGAACUCUUACGGGCAUCCACCAGCUCCCCAUCUCUACCCUGGCCCAGCACCAAUGUACCCAAUCUCCACCCAGGACACAGCAGGAUACAGUCGCCCAGCGCACCACAUGGUUCCUCGGCCACCUGUCCCACCUCCCGGUGCCAAUGAGGAGAUCGCUGAUGACUUCGACUGGGACUUGAUCACUUAA